CCAGAAAGAAGCUGACUGCUCUCAUGGCCACUAGUAGCCAUUGGCAGUGGGACCCCAUCCUCUCAGCACUGUUUGUGUGAGCCUGUCUUCUACAGAGCCACCCUUAUGGCUGUUAUAAGGCCAUAUGCACUGCAGAUCUUUCUGGGUAUGCAGUGCUGGAAUCUUAAACCCUGGUCAAAAGAUUCUCCACUCCAGUAAGAACAUUAAAUAUGCCUCUACUCUGUGGUAGAUACUAGGUAGGCACACUACCUCCCUUAUAUCCUUGUAUCCUCUUUAUCAUACUAUCCUCAUUUUCAGGAUGAGGCAUCUGAGGCUCAGGAAAAUUAAGAAUCUUUCCAAAGUCAUCCAGCUGCUAAGUGGUAAAGCUCUUAAGUAGUGUUUAUUGACACUAUUGUACAGUAAAUCAAAAUAAAAUUAAAUUAAGUCAAAAAUUUUUUUAUUAAAACACAGUUUCCUUUGAGGUGUUCAAAACGCAUAGUUAAUAAACAUUUAGCACCAUAAAAACUAUUUAUCACCAAGUCUAGUGGUUUCUGAUCUGCGUUCCUGCUUAGGAAAGAGAAAAAGGGGACAGCUCAUGAAUUCAGCCAAAACUUCUCUAUUUCUAUCUGUUUAGUUUGUUUAUGCUCAUUGUCUUACUCUAUUCAGGCUGCUAUGGUAAAAUAACAUAAACUAGGUGGCUUUAUAACAACAAAUACCUAUUUCUCACAGUUCUAGAGGCUGGGAUAUCCAAGAUUAUGAUGCUGGUAGAUUUGGUGCCUGAGGAUAGCCACAGAGAACUGUGUACUUUGGGAAAGAAGAUUAAGAAGAGGGAGAAGAGGAUUGUUUGAAAGACAAAGAAGCAGAGUUUGCUUCCCUACCUCAUUAUCAGUUGGCCACAUAAUUUGCUGGACCAAUGCAAUGUGAGAAGAAGUGACAGAGUGCCAGACCCAAGCAGAAGUUUUAAGAGGCGUCGCAUGUUUCUGCCAUCUCUCAGACUCUUCCUGCUGCCACAAGAAGGCAUCUCCCAAAUAAGAGCUAGCUCUUCAACCAGAAUGAGAAAACGGGUGACAUAGAGCCACCGCAGGUAAACUUAAGCCUCUGCCUCAUAACAAAAACCAGACAUAAAUGUGUUUGUUCUAAACCACUGAGAUUUGGAGUUGUUUCUUACUGCAGCAAAGCUGACUAACACAUAUGUUAAAAUGACCUCCGGUGUUCAUAAUGAACUAGAAACCUGCUGAAGCUACACUGAGUGACGUUGUAUACAUGGCAGUGGCUCUCAGUGAGUCAUAUAGUUUUAUUAUUUAAUUACUGGUCUUUGAAAGCAGACCACUAAAAAUGAAGUCAUAUUCUUAUUAAUAGUUAGAUAAAAAUGGGAGUUCAUGGUCCUAGGUACUUCAAGGCUGCAGAUUUUACCAACUCACUAUUUUAAACCCAAAUUCUAUA
ensembl:lncRNA